UAAAGAACAUGUGGUCACAUUUUUGUCUGACAUCAUCAAGAACAUAGAGAAGUUGUGAUUCCAGCCUCAGAGGAGUGAGCUUUUAUCUCUCUGUGACUCUCUAAAGCCAUCUUUACAGCAAGAAGUGUCACAGCCUCAGUUCAUAGACUCCAACUAACCAACUAAAGAAUUGUUAACUCAGAGCAUUGUUCCUGAGGAAGAAAAGACCCAAGACACCCACCAACAUCUGCUUUGUGCCAAGAAUCUACAGUUGGGUUGCAAGGAUAGCACAUUGGGAAAAUGAGAGUGAGACCGAGUAAGGAGCCAGCCGAGGUGUCUCAAGUCAUCUCAAGGAUUCCCAGCCCCCGCUGCUGAAAGCAGAGAGAAGAAAGGACCCAGGCACAGCAGGUGUACUCCCACCAUGGGGCAGAGCUGCCAGCGAGCAUGCGAGGAAGCAUGCGAAAGGCCAAUCCAGCCCCCGCUUACUAAAGCUAAGG